ACGCUAUUAGCCGCUAUUGAUAAGGCAACGGUGAUAAAUAAAGUCAGUACAUGGUCAACCAGAGUGGAAUAUUUCAUAGAUUUUUCCACAAAAUGUUUUCGUACCUAGAGCCAGGAAUAUUUUCUGUUAAAAGUACUGUACCCACUAUAAACAAUUAGGUAAUAGUAUAUGGUUUCAAAUGUAAUUUGGAAAAAACAUGCACGAGUGAGUUUUGAUGAUUCCUCUUAGAUGAUAUUUGAUGAUUUCAAUUUUCAUAAUCUGUGCUUUCCAAAACAGUAUCAUGAAGCUUAUAAGGAUAUUCCAUUUUGUUCACAUUGCUUUAUCAAAUAUAAUAUUAGACGACUGAGCCGUUGCAGAUGUAUAUAAUGUCUCAGUUAUUAAUUUUAAGAGACUCACCUCCAGUUGUUUCUUCCGGAGUUCAUCAAUUGAAGUCCCAAGAAAUGUUGCCAAAAGAGUAACUCUCCAUGCUACUUUCAAAAACUUCUCCAUUUCUAUCACAAAAUAAAUGCGUAUGGUUUGUGCUAGCAAAACAUUUUAAGAGUAUAACUAUAGUAAUUACUAUCGCAUGAGAGCGCUGCCUCGAAGAAUAAAUAUAACUAAAAUAAUUCAUGGUCUAUUGCCAAACAUGUACCACAUUUCUACGGGCUGACAGUUCACAUUUAAUUUUGCCUGAUCACAUAUUAGAGUGCACUAGCUGUUAAGUACGGAUGACCAUGCAAAACUUGGUAGCCUGGACUUGUUUAUUGAACGUGGGAGGGGUUGUUUAAUAGUGUUGGGAGGUGCCUGGAUUUGUUGAUUGAACUUGGGAGAGGCUGGAUUCGUUGAUUGAACUUGUGAGUUGUUUAAUGGUGUUGGGAAGAGGAUGGAUUUGUUGAUUGAACUUGAAGGUUGUUUGCUAGUGUUGGGAGGAGGCUGGAUUUGUUGAUUGAACUUGAGGGUUGUUUGCUAGUGUUGGGAAGAGGAUGGAUUUGUUGAUUGAACUUGAAGGUUGUUUGCUAGUGUUGGGAAGAGGAUGGAUUUGUUGAUUGAACUUGAGGGUUGUUCGGUAGUGUUGGGAAGAGCCUGGAUUUGUUGAUUGAACUUGAGGGUUGUUUGUAGUGUUGGAAGGACGCUGGAUUUGUUGAUUGAACUUGAAGGUUGUUUGGUAGUGUUGGGAGGAGGCUGGAUUUGUUGAUUGAACUUGAAGGUUGUUUGCUAGUGUUGGGAAGAGGAUGGAUUUGUUGAUUGAACUUGAGGGUUGUUCGGUUGUCUUGGGAAGAGCCUGGAUUUGUUGAUUGAACUUGUGAGUUGUUUAAUGGUGUUGGGAGGUGGCUGGAUUUGUUGAUUGAACUUGGGGGGUUGUUUAAUGGUGUUGGGAGGUGCCUGGAUUAGUUGAUUGAAUUUCUGAGUUGUUUAAUGGUGUUGGGAAGAGGCUGGUUUUGUUGAUUGAACUUGGGGGUUGUUUAAUGGUGUUGGGAGUAGCCUGGAUUUGUUCAUUGAACUUGUGAGUUUGUUUAAUGUUGUUGGGAGGAGGCUGGAUUUGUUGUUUGAACUUGUGGUUGUUUUGAGAUGUUGGGAGGAGGCUGGAUUUGUUGUUUGAACUGGGGGUUAUUUUGAGAUGUUGGGAGGUGCCUGGAUUUGUUGACUGAACUUGAGGGUUGUUUGGUAGUGUUGGGAGGAGGCUGGAUUUGUUGAUUGAACUUGAGGGUAGUUUUGUGGUGUUGAGAGGUGGCUGGAUUUGUUGAUAGAACUUGUGGGUUGUUUUGUGGUGUUUGGAGAUGCCUGGAUUUGUUGACUGAACUUGAGGGUUGUUUGGUAGUAUUGGGAGGAGGCUGGAUUUGUUGAUUGAACUGGAGGGUUAUUCGGUAGUGUUGGGAAGAGGCUGGAUUUGUUGAUUGAACUUGAGGGUAGUUUGGUAGUGUUGGGAGGAUGGUGGAUUUGUUGAUUGAACUUGAGGGCUGUUUUGUAGUGUUGGGAGGUGACUGCAUUUGUUGAUUGAACUUGAGGGUUCUUUUGUGGUAUUGGGAGGUGCCUGGAUUUGUUGAUUGAACUUGUGAGUUGUUUAAUGGUGUUGGGAGGUGCCCGGAUUUGUUGAUUGAAUUUUUGACUUGUUUAAUGGUGUUGGGAAGAGGCUGGUUUUGUUGAUUGAACUUGGGGGUUGUUUAAUGGUGUUGGGAGUAGCCUGGAUUUGUUCAUUGAACUUGUGAGUUUGUUUAAUGUUGUUGGGAGGAGGCUGGAUUUGUUGUUUGAACUUGUGGUUGUUUCAGAUGUUGGGAGGAGGCUGGAUUUGUUGUUUGAACUUGGGGUUGUUUUGAGAUGUUGGGAGGUGCCUGGAUUUGUUGACUGAACUUGAGGGUUGUUUGGUAGUGUUGGGAGGAUGCUGGAUUUGUUGAUUGAACUUGGGGGUUGUUUUGUGGUGUUGAGAGGUGGCUGGAUUUGUUGAUUGAAUUUGUGAGUUGUUUAAUGGUGUUGGGAAGAGGAAGGAUUUGUUGAUUGAACUUGAAGGUUGUUUGCUAGUGUUGGGAGGAGGCUGGAUUUAUUGAUUGAACUUGAGGGUUGUUUGGUAGUGUUGGGAGGACGCUGGAUUUGUUGAUUGAACUUGAAGGUUGUUUGGUAGUGUUGGAAAGAUGCUGGAUUUGUUGAUUGAACUUGAGGGUUUGGUAGUGUUGGGAAGAGGCUGGAUUUGUUGAUUGAACUUGAGGGUUGUUUGGUAGUGUUGGGAAGAGGAUGGAUUUGUUGAUUGAACUUGAAGGUUGUUUGCUAGUGUUGGGAGGAGGCUGGAUUUAUUGAUUGAACUUGAGGGUUGUUUGGUAGUGUUGGGAGGACGCUGGAUUUGUUGAUUGAACUUGAAGGUUGUUUGGUAGUGUUGGAAAGAUGCUGGAUUUGUUGAUUGAACUUGAGGGUUUGGUAGUGUUGGGAAGAGGCUGGAUUUGUUGAUUGAACUUGAGGGUUGUUUGGUAGUGUUGGGAAGAGGAUGGAUUUGUUGAUUGAACUUGAAGGUUGUUUGCUAGUGUUGGGAGGAGGCUGGAUUUAUUGAUUGAACUUGAGGGUUGUUUGGUAGUGUUGGGAGGACGCUGGAUUUGUUGAUUGAACUUGAAGGUUGUUUGGUAGUGUUGGAAAGAGGCUGGAUUUGUUGAUUGAACUUGAGGGUUUGGUAGUGUUGGGAAGAGGCUGGAUUUGUUGAUUGAACUUGAGGGUUGUUCGGUAGUGUUGGGAAGAGGCUGGAUUUGCCGAUUAAACUUGAGGGUUGUUUGUAGUGUUGGGAGGAGGCUGGAUUUGUUCAUUGAACUUGCGGGUUGUUCGGUAGUGUUGGGAAGAAGCUGGAUUUGUUGAUUGAACUUGAGGGUUGUUUGUAGUGUUGGGAGGACGCUGGAUUUGUUGAUUGAACUUGAAGGUUUUUUGGUAGUAUUGGGAGGACGCUGGUUUUGUUGAUUGAACUGGAGGGUUGUUUGGUAGUGUUGGGAGGAGGCUGGAUUUGUUGACUGAACUUUAGGGUUGGUUGGUAGUGUUGGGAAGAGGCUGGAUUUGUUGAUUGAACUUGAGGGUAGUUUGGUAGCGUUGGGAGGAUACUGGAUUUGUUGAUUGAACUUGAGGGCUGUUUUGUAGUGUUGCGAGGUGACUGCAUUUGUUGAUUGAACUUGAGGGUUCUUUUGUGGUGUUGGGAGGUGCCUGGAUUUAUUGAUUGAACUUGUGAGUUGUUUAAUGGUGUUGGGAGGUGGCUGCAUUUGUUGAUUGAACUUGGGGGUUGUUUAAUGGUGUUGGGAAGUGCCUGGAUUUGUUGAUUGAAUUUUUGAAUUGUUUAAUGGUGUUGCGAAGAGGCUGGUUUUGUUGAUUGAACUUGGGGGUUGUUUAAUGGUGUUGGGAGUAGCCUGGAUUUGUUCAUUGAACUUGUGAGUUUGUUUAAUGUUGUUGGGAGGAGGCUGGAUUUGUUGUUUGAACUUGUGGUUGUUUUGAGAUGUUGGGGGGAGGCUGGAUUUGUUGUUUGAACUUGGGGUUGUUUUGAGAUGUUGGGAGGAGGCUGGAUUUGUCGAUUGAACUUGGGGUUGUUUUGAGAUGUUGGGAGGAGGCUGGAUUUGUUGAUUGAACUUGGGGUUGUUUUGAGAUGUUGGGAGGAGGCUGGAUUUGUUGAUUGAACUUGGGGUUGUUUUGUGAUGUUGGGAGGAGGCUGGAUUUGUUGAUUGAACUUGGAGGUUGUGUAAUGGUGUUGGGAGUUGCCUGGAUUUGUUCAUUGAACUUGUGAGUUUGUUUAAUAGUGUUUGGAGGUGGCUGGAUUUGUUGACUGAACUUGAGGGUUGUUUGGUAGUGUUGGGAGGAUGCUGGAUUUGUUGAUCGAACUGGGGGGGGGGGGGGGGGUUGUUUAAUGGUGUUGGGAGGUGCCUAGAUUUGUUGAUUGUAUUUGUGAGUUGUUUAAUGGUGUUGGGAAGAGGCUGGAUUUGUUGAUUGAAGUUGGGGGUUUUGUGGUGUUUGGAGGAGGCUGGAUUUGUUGAUUGAAUUUGUGUGUUGUUUAAUGGUGUUGAGAAGAGGCUGGUUUUGUUGAUUGAACUUGGGGGUUGUUUAAUGGUGUUGGGAGUAGCCUGGAUUUGUUCAUUGAACUUGUGAGUUUGUUUAAUGGUGUUGGGAGGAGGCUG
rnacentral:lncRNA from 1 species